rnacentral:rRNA from 1 species
UCUCAAAAAUAACGUCUCAGUUCGGACUGUAGUCUGCAACCCGACUACACGAAGCUGGAAUCGCUAGUAAUCGCGAAUCAGAAUGUCGCGGUGAAUACGUUCCCGGGUCUUGUACACACCGCCCGUCACACCAUGGGAGUUGGUAAUGCCCGAAGUCAGUGACCCAACCGCAAGGAGGGAGCUGCCGAAGGCAGGACUGAUAACUGGGGUGAAGUCGUAACAAGGUAUC